rnacentral:ncRNA from 1 species
CUUGUACACACCGCCCGUCACACCAUGGGAGUUUGUUGCACCAGAAGUAGGUAGUCUAACCGUAAGGAGGACGCUUACCACGGUGUGGCCGAUGACUGGGGUGAAGUCGUAACAAGGUAGCCGUAGGGGAACCUGCGGCUGGAUCACCUCCUUA